UACGGAGGGGGCUAGCGUUGUUCGGAAUUACUGGGCGUAAAGGGCUCGUAGGCGGCCAACUAAGUCAGACGUGAAAUCCCUCGGCUUAACCGGGGAACUGCGUCUGAUACUGGAUGGCUAGAGGUUGGGAGAGGGAUGCGGAAUUCCAGGUGUAGCGGUGAAAUGCGUAGAUAUCUGGAGGAACACCGGUGGCGAAGGCGGCAUCCUGGACCAAUUCUGACGCUGAUGAGCGAAAGCCAGGGGAGCAAACGGG
rnacentral:rRNA from 1 species